GACGAACGCUGGCGGCGUGCUUAACACAUGCAAGUCGAACGGUGAUGCUCCAGCUUGCUGGAGUGGAUCAGUGGCGAACGGGUGAGUAACACGUGAGCAACCUGCCCCAGACUCUUGAAUAAGCGCUGGAAACGGCGUCUAAUACUGGAUACGAAACUGGCCCGCAUGGGCAUGGUUUGGAAAGUUUUUCGGUUUGGGAUGGGCUCGCGGCCUAUCAGCUUGUUGGUGAGGUAAUGGCUCACCAAGGCGACGACGGGUAGCCGGCCUGAGAGGGCGACCGGCCACACUGGGACUGAGACACGGCCCAGACUCCUACGGGAGGCAGCAGUGGGGAAUAUUGCACAAUGGGCGAAAGCCUGAUGCAGCGACGCCGCGUGAGGGAUGACGGCCUUCGGGUUGUAAACCUCUUUCAGCAGGGAAGAAGCGAAAGUGACGGUACCUGCAGAAGAAGCACCGGCUAACUACGUG
rnacentral:rRNA from 1 species